UUACAGGAUUGGUGGGUAUACCUGGACCUCCAGGUAUUCCUGGGUUUGACGGUGCCCCUGGCCAGAAAGGAGAGAUGGGGCCUGCCGGGCCUACUGGUCCAAGAGGAUUUCCAGGUCCACCAGGCCCCGAUGGGUUGCCAGGAUCCAUGGGGCCCCCAGGCACCCCAUCUGUUGAUCACGGCUUCCUUGUGACCAGGCAUAGUCAAACAAUAGAUGACCCACAGUGUCCUUCUGGGACCAAAAUUCUUUACCACGGGUACUCUUUGCUCUACGUGCAAGGCAAUGAACGGGCCCACGGCCAGGACUUGGGUAAGAAGCCUGCAGAUCCAUGCAUUCAUUCAGUGUAGGUGUGUUGAGUGCCUUUGGUGCGCAGUGCUGGACUCGCCUCUGCUGCUGCAGUGAGGGCAGUAGCGAGUGAAACACUGUGCCAUGAGGGCGGUAGCCAGUGAAAAAGCAGCCCGGCCCCAUUUCCCUCCAUUGAUUACAAAUAAUCGGUUCAACAGUUGCUGUAUUACUAAUGGCAAGCCAAGAAAUGUGGAGACUGAAUCUUCGAAAAUCUUUAAAUUAAUAAAACUUUAGAU
rnacentral:sRNA from 1 species